rnacentral:ncRNA from 1 species
GUAGGUGGAUGGCCACGCCAUCACCUGCCAUUCUCCUCUUGUCGUUGUUGCUCCGGGGCUAAUUUUGAGCCCCGGUUUUUUUUG